rnacentral:rRNA from 1 species
UCAGGACGAACGCUGGCGGCGUGCCUAACACAUGCAAGUCGAGCGAGGAGAUUCCUUCGGGAUGAUCCUAGCGGCGGACGGGUGAGUAACACGUGGGCAACCUGCCUCAUAGAGAGGAAUAGCCUUCCGAAAGGGAGAUUAAUACCUCAUAACAUUGCAGUUUCGCAUGGAACAGCAAUUAAAGGAGCAAUCCGCUAUGAGAUGGGCCCGCGGCGCAUUAGCUAGUUGGUGAGGUAACGGCUCACCAAGGCGACGAUGCGUAGCCGACCUGAGAGGGUGAUCGGCCACAUUGGGACUGAGACACGGCCCAGACUCCUACGGGAGGCAGCAGUGGGGAAUAUUGCACAAUGGGGGAAACCCUGAUGCAGCCAACGCCGCGUGAGUGAUGACGGCCUUCGGGUUGUAAAGCUCUGUCUUCAGGGACGAUAAUGACGGUACCUGAGGAGGAAGCCACGGCUAACUACGUGCCAGCAGCUGC